CGUAGGGUGCGAGCGUUAAUCGGAAUUACUGGGCGUAAAGCGUGCGCAGGCGGUUUUGUAAGACAGAUGUGAAAUCCCCGGGCUCAACCUGGGACCUGCAUUUGUGACUGCAAGGCUAGAGUACGGUAGAGGGGGAUGGAAUUCCGCGUGUAGCAGUGAAAUGCGUAGAUAUGCGGAGGAACACCGAUGGCGAAGGCAAUCCCCUGGACCUGUACUGACGCUCAUGCACGAAAGCGUGGGGAGCAAACAGGAUUAGAUACCCUGGUAGUCCACGCCUAAACGACGUCAACUGGUUGUUGGGUCUUUACUGACUCAGUAACGAAGCUAACGCGUGAAGUUGACCGCCUGGGGAGUACGGCCGCAAGGUUG
rnacentral:rRNA from 1 species